rnacentral:rRNA from 1 species
UUUUAAGUUAGAAAGGCGCACGGUGGCAUGCCUUGGCACUAGGAGGCCCGAAGAAGGCACGGGACUAACACCGAUAAUGCUUUUGGGGAGCUGUAACGUAAGCCGUUGAUUCCCAGAGAUUUCCGAAUGGGGGGAACCCAACUAUCUUUUUUUAGUCCGAUAGUAUUCCUUACGUGAAUACAUAGAGGGCGCCCCGGGGGGGGGUGAGGAAGGCAGACCGCCAGGGAAGCUGAAAACAUCUAAGUACCUGGAGGAAGAGAAAGAAAAAUCGAUUUCCUGAGUAGCGGCGAGCGAAACGGAAAGAGCCCAAACCAAGAGCUUGCUUCUUGGGGUUGUAGGACACUCUAUACGGAAGUUACAAAAGAGAUAAAAUAAAAUAGAAAGCGGUCCCUGGAAAGGCCCGCCAAAGACGGUAAACAGCCCCGGUUAGUUGAAAUGGCUUUUCCCUCCAGGAGUGGAACAGAGAAAAGACAGGAAACACGUGGGAAAUUCCGUCGGAAAUCCGGGGAGGACCAUCUCCAACGGCUAAAUAAUACCCCAGUGGAACCGAUAGUGAACCAGUACCAAAAAUGGAGGGAAAGGUGAAAAAGCAACCCCGAAGGGAGUUGAAACAGAUAAUACCUAAGAACCCGUGGGGGCCUACAAGUAGUUAUGAGCCCGUUAAUGGGUGACUAGCGUAAAGCAUAUUGUAGAAUGAACCCGGACGAGUAAUAAUAACCGAUAUAUAGGUUUGCAAGAGUAUUCAUAAGCGGAAAACUAGAACAGAAGAGAAGACAGCGAGUCCUGAAUAGGGCGCAUAAGUAAACAGGUCCGUAGACCCGAACACAGGUGGGAUCUACCCAUGUCCCAGGAUGAAGGUAACGGGUAAUACUUACCGGAGGUCCGAACCCACUGCACGUUGAAAAGUGCGGGGAAUGAGUGUGGGGGUAGACGGAGAAAUUCCAUAGACAAAUAGGAGAUAAGACAUGGUUCUCCCUCGAAAUACGCUUUAGGGCUAAGCCUCGAGGUAAAGAGUCCCAUGGAGGUAGAAGCACUGUUUGGACCCUAGGGGCCCUUUCUCGGGUUACCCGAAUUUCAGAUAAACUCCGCGAAUGCCAUGUAACUCUAUAACUCGGGGGAGUCAGGACUGCGGAGUGAUAAGAUCCCGUAGUCGAAAGGGAAACAGCCCAGACCAACAGUUUAAGGUCCCCCAAAUAUAUGUUAAGUGGAAAAGGAUGUGGGUUUGCUUCUAGACCAACCCAGGGAUGUUGGCUUAGAAGGCAGCCACCAUUGAAGAGAGUGCGUAUUAGCUCAACUCGGAAUCGCAGUCGACCCCCAGCGCCGAAAAUGUACGGGGCUAAACAUAAUAGCCCCAAACUGGUGGAUGGAACCUCUUUAGAGGUUCGUGGGUAGGAGAGGCGUUCUAAGGGCGGUUGAAGUCAGACCGGAAGGACUGUGGUGGAGCGCCUUAAAAAGUGGGAGAUAUGCCGGUAUGAGUCAGCGAAAGAGAGGGCUGAGAAUCCCUUCCACCGAAUAUCUAAGGUUUUUCCUGAGGAAGGCUCGUUCCCGCUCAGGGUUAGUCGGGACACUAAAGCCCGAGGCCGAUAGGCCGUAGCGCCGCAUGGAAAACACGGGAAGAGUUCCUCCUGUACCAGUGCUUAAUUUGUAAAACGAUGGGUCGUGACACAGGAAGGGAUAUGGGAGGGCCGCCGCCGCGCGCCACCGGCGGAAUCGCACGAAUGAAAUGUGCGCUCCAAGCAAGUGAGUGUGAGAAGGUAGGCAAAUCCCGCUUCUCGCCGAGCAUGAAGGCUGCUGAUGGGGAAGGAAAAUUAAGUAAGCCGAAGUUCUGAUCUCCUCCCACGCCUCGCUCCGACCCGACAACACACGCGCUCUAGCAACGAAGGCUAGUAGAGCCUGCCCGUACCCGCAAACCGACAGCAAGGUAGAUGAGGAGAGAAUCCUACAGGGUGAGCGAGAAGAACUCUCGUCGUAAGGAAACUCGCGCCAAAAUGACCCCGUAACUUCGGGAGAAGGGGUGGCUUCCUAUUAGGGUGGCAAGCCCCGAGACAGCCGCAGUGAAUAGGCCCCAGGCCGGGACUGUUUAGCAAAAACACCCUAGGUCUCCUUCCUGCAAAAACCGUAAGGUGACGUAGAGGGCCUGACGCCUGGCCCCGGUGGCUGGGAAAGUUUUAAAGCAAGGAGUGGCCCUUAGCUUCGGCGAAGGUACGCAAUUGAAGCCCCAGUCAAACGGCCGGCCGUACAACCUAUAUUACGGCCCUAAGGUAGGCGAAAUUCCUUGUCGGGUAAGUUUCCGACCCGCAACGAAGGCGCAACGAUAUGGGGCACAGUCCUCAUACGAGAGACCCCGGGAAAAUUAUAGUACCUGUGAAGAUGCAGGUUACCCGCGACAGGACGGAAAGACCCCGUGGAGCUUUACUGCAACCUGAUAUGGAAUGUUUGUACCGCUUGUACAGGAUAGGUAGGAGCCGAAGAGACGUGUGCGCUAGCAUACGAGGAGGCAAUGGUGGGAUACUACCCUGGCUGUAUGACCAUUCUAACCCGCCACGCUUAGCGCGUGGGGAGACAGUGUCAGGUGGGCAGUUUGACUGGGGCGGUCGCCUCCUAAAGAGUAACGGAGGCGCCCAAAGGUUCCCUCAGAAUGGAUGGAAAUCAUUCGCAGAGUGUAAAGGCACAAGGGGACUUGACUGCGAGACUGACAAGUCGAGCAGGGACGAAAGUCGGGCUUAGUGAUCCGGUGGUUCCGCAUGGAAGGGCCAUCGCUCAACGGAUAAAAGCUACCCCGGGGAUAACAGGCUUAUCUCCCCCAAGAGUCCACAUCGACGGGGAGGUUUGGCACCUCGAUGUCGGCUCGUCGCAUCCUGGGGCUGUAGUCGGUCCCAAGGGUUGGGCUGUUCGCCCAUUAAAGCGGCACGCGAGCUGGGUUCAGAACGUCGUGAGACAGUUCGGUCCCUAUCCGUCGCGGGCGCAGGAAAUUUGAGAGGAGCUGUCCUUAGUACGAGAGGACCGGGAUGGACACACCGCUGGUGUACCAGUUGUUCCGCCAGGAGCAUCGCUGGGUAGCUAUGUGUGGCAGGGAUAAACGCUGAAAGCAUCUAAGCGUGAAGCCCCCCUCAAGAUGAGAUUUCCCAUUUCUUCGGAAAGUAAGAUCCCUGAAAGAUGAUCAGGUAGAUAGGUUUGGAGUGGAAGUGUAGCGAUACAUGGAGCGGACAAAUACUAAUCGAUCGAGGACUUAACCAAAA